GGGAGUUGUGGUAUUUGUCGUGACUGGAUGUGGUCUAGACAAGCUCGGGUGUAGAACAACCUUCCUAAUCACCACAUAAUGAAUGAAAUAAUAGCAGGAGGGAGAUUCAAAAGAUGCCAGAUACUGUUCCAGAUACAUGGGAGAUGCUCAGGAAAUGCAGCAGCUGCACUCGAGGGACCAUGCACAGGAUCUUGAACAUUCCUGAGAGCAAAUGCAGC